rnacentral:rRNA from 1 species
CCUACGGGGGGCAGCAGUGAGGAAUAUUGGUCAAUGGCCGGAAGGCUGAACCAGCCAAGCCGCGUGAGGGAGGAAGGCGCAGAGCGUCGCAGACCUCUUUUGCCGGGGGACAAAAGGCCGGACUCGUCCGGUCCUGAGGGUACCCGGAGAAAAAGUAUCGGCUAACUACGUGCCAGCAGCCGCGGUAAUACGUAGGUGGCGAGCGUUAUCCGGAAUGAUUGGGCGUAAAGGGUGCGUAGGCGGCCUGCUAAGUCUGGAGUGAAAGGUACCGGCUCAACCGGUACAGGCUCUGGAAACUGGCGGGG